CCCUGAUGCUGUGUUUGUGUUUAUUAAGAUUAGUUACAAAAUAUUUUAUAAUCGUUUCAGGGUGAUUAGAGUAUAAAAGACUGUCCUCGGGAAAGGGGCCUGUUUUGUUGAGUUCCCCGAUUCUCUGCAGAAAAUGCGUGGUAUCCUUGACAAACGAUGGCAAAUUCCAUAUCAACUGAGUGUCUCCAAUAUAAAUGUAACUAAUACUUUUGUAUUUAGUUUAUGUACUUCAGGAGUCCAUUCUAUAGUACACAGUUUCUAGCUGCCAGAGUUUCAGGAACUGAUGUAGGACUGAACGUAGAGAUGAGAUGACAUUUUCUGUUGGCAGGACUAAGUAACCGUACAGUAUAUGGGAACCUGAUCCAUAAUACUACUCUUACAUACAUGGAGCUAUUAGGAUAUCGUUACAAUAAUAUCAUUUUCUUUGGUUGGCUGCUUAGCAGUCCACCAAAAGCAACAUGCCUUCAAUAUCUCCCAGGAGGUAGUGAACAGUUGGAUAUUAUGAAGUAUGAUUCAUUGAAUUCUAAGGAAGACAACGACCAUUUUUCCUUUAGUACUUUGAAACAGUUACCACAUAUUACAAACUGAAGACGAGGAAGGUUCAAUUGGAAAUUGACCCCCUUAAAGAUCAGGAGAGUGAAGUGGAAACUCCAGUUGUGGACAAUUACAAACUAUAUUUCCAGGGAAGCACCUCACAAACAGAAUUUUUGUAAUUUUUUCUUAACAAUAUUCAUUAUAAAUCAAGGCCUGCCAUGAGACCUUUGUGAAAUUAAUAAUAAAAUUGAUGGAACUGUUGCAUAUUAGACUCCAUGUGCUAGGGUUCACUUGUUAUCAACUCCCAAAAUUCCCCAACAAAACAUUUUCACUAAAAACAAAUAAAUCUGGCAAAAAUCAAAGCCUCACAAAAGUUCAAGAUGACUACACAUCAAAUCCACAAAAACCAUAUUACCUCAACUACUAAUACAACCAAGUACUCUCCCUGUAGGAGGGGAAGAAUUCAAGUCUUGAAGAUACCUUGACGAUAAUUAAUGUGCUUCAGUUCUAUGGUCAUUUGUUCAGGAAAAUUUCCAACAUGACUGAAAUAAUAGACAAUUAGUUCAACGAAAUAAUGAUUGAGUAUGUUACUGUUAUUUUAGAUUUUUAUCUUGUCAUUUGCAUGAACAGAAUUCUGUUUUUUGGUUAUUACAACCCUGAGAAUACUCAGUUAAACUUUGCAUAAAGCAAAUAACAUUAUGUUUAUCUUGUUUACAACAUUAUGUUUGUGUUAUUUACUCAACAUUAACCCACAUUCCAAUGCAAAAAGUAAACAUGACUCAAUACGUCAUGAAUACUUAGUAAACAAAGUUCAUUGUACCUCUAAUAACUUGUUGAAAGGCUCCAGCUAAGAACAUCCUAAGGCCAUAGUUACCAAAGGGGGGAGGGGAGGGGGAGAAGUGGACUGAGAACCAAUCACAUUCAAGCACUUUGCUAGCAUACAAUUAUGAGGAUAUGAUAUAUUGACCACAUGAACUAUAAUCUAGCAACAAUUUGCAGAAAUCUCUCCUGGUGCAAAAAGUAACUUGGAUGUUCCUGCUUUUACACCUUCCAACUGAAAAUGUUUGGCAAAGUAAAGUUAUGUAAACACAUUAUUUAUAAGGUGAUCUCUCACCAAUACUCCAGCAUUAUUAUGAAGGUGAGCUGGUACCUCAAUCACCAAGUCUGGUUCACGAGGAGGUUGCUCUAUAUAAUCAGAAAGUGGUGUUUUGUAAAAUAUAUACACAUAUUGUGCAGCACAGAUGCCCCACCAGAUAUAUCGAGGCAUCAGAAUCUGGACUUCCAUAGGCUAAAGGCCCUCUCGAUGGUUUUUCUUAGUUUUUGUAUGAGCCUUUUGAUAUCUCCUUUGAGGUCCAGUGGAAACAUCAUCAGGCCUGAAAGGGG